rnacentral:rRNA from 1 species
ACGGAAGGCAGCAGUGGGGAAUAUUGGGCAAUGGGCGAAAGCCUGACCCAGCAACGCCGCGUGAAGGAAGAAGGCCUUCGGGUUGUAAACUUCUUUUACCAGGGACGAAGGACGUGACGGUACCUGGAGAAAAAGCAACGGCUAACUACGUGCCAGCAGCCGCGGUAAUACGUAGGUUGCAAGCGUUGUCCGGAUUUACUGGGUGUAAAGGGCGUGUAGGCGGAGCUGCAAGUCAGAUGUGAAAUCCCGGGGCUCAACCCCGGAACUGCAUUUGAAACUGUAGCCCUUGAGUAUCGGAGAGGCAAGCGGAAUUCCUAGUGUAGCGGUGAAAUGCGUAGAUAUUAGGAAGAACACCGGUGGCGAAGGCGGCCUGCUGGACGACAACUGACGCUGAGGCGCGAAAGCGUGGGGAGCAAACAGGAUUAGAUACCCUGGUA